CAUCGAUAUGAAACCUUGAUCGAAGAGUCCCAAACCAGUGGGACUCUUGACCCCGGUACCCAAAAUAUGUGGGACUCAUGAUCAGAGAAUUUUGAUUCUCGAUCACAGAGUCCCAGACAUGUAGGACUCAUAGUCCAUAAAUAUUAGGACUCUUCAUCAGCCAUCAGAUCAGAUAGGAACCUCUAAUGUGUGUGACCCC
rnacentral:lncRNA from 1 species